UAUUUCCUUCUAAUCCAAUGGUCAUCAUCCCUUCCCAUCUACAUAUAAAAUACCCAAGUUUUCAAAACCUAAGACUAAAAAAAGAACGGCAACACUCCUAAUCUCGAAGACUGCCGUCUCCCAACUUCCCCCAAAUCAAAGACCUUCACGGUCUAAUUUCACCAACUCCAAAUACACGCACAGAACAUACAAGGGAUUCUUUGCACAAAAAUUGGGGGUGGGAAAAUAAAAAGAAACGAAAGAGUCUUCAACCCAUAUCACUUCACAUAUAUCACCUUAAACCAAUUUGAAAUUCCAUUAAAACCAGCUUUAAAAAAAAGACCCGAACAGUCAUCAAUUUCUCCAUUUUUUUUCCUCCGACGAAGCUCCGUUUCAGCCCUGUAAUGUCAUGGAAGAUAGAUCGAGAUAGACGAACUUCCAUGUGAGAGAUCCAUCUAAAGUUCCGGUGAGGUUCCCGUUUAGUAUGGUUAACGUGUUGCUGGUCUUAUUUCCAGACUUUUGUUUCUUUUUAAAAAGAUCCAGGUGACCGAGCGGCAGAGUGAGGGUACUCAGCAUUAUCAGAGUUUUCCGGAGACUGCAAGGUUGCUGCAUGGCGUCCGCAACCCUGCUUUCUUCCUUCCUAUCCUUGUUUUCCCCGCAUUUUAGAUUUGUUAUGUAUUAAACGGUCGAACUUUUAUAUUUAGAGGCUCUAGCCUCGUGACACCAAAUGUUUAGGCUGUGUUGGUUUAAUAUUUUAUUGAUUUCCGCACAUUUUAGCUGUUUUAUACAUUUCUUUUGAGAA